rnacentral:lncRNA from 1 species
CGACUCUGCGCCUGCGCAGGAAGCUUUUUGGGGAGUGUUGUGAAUUCCGAGGGCUCCACACUUAAAAGGUUGUACACUCACCUGUCUACCUGGACUCCAAUUUCCAUAUUUCCAGCCACUUGAGGACUGAGAGGUGGAUGAUAAACCCUGUCAUAGUGGAGCAAGUUCAGGUGUUUAACCGCUGUUACGGGGGAUCUGCCUUUUCUCCCUCUCCUUUCUUACUUCCAUGAGUAUGUAUGUGCAGAGAUUGAAAAAUGACCUUGAGAGAGUCCAUCCAUCUAACUCCAGUUCAUUGGAAAUUUCUGCUUCUUUGAGACUGAGGUUAUAUUCCACUUCUUCUGACUACACCACCACCAUCAAGCUCCUUCUCUGAACUCUUGGAUCAUUACUUCAACCUGAAACAACUCAUCAGGCAGAAUAGUUGCCUACUGCCCCAACCCCACCAAAUGUUCCAGCACCUCUGAUAUUACCUCACAUGGCAAGAGGGCUUUGAAGAUGUGAUUGAGUCAAGGAUCUUGAAUGGGGAGAUUAUCCUGAAUUACUCAGGUGGACCCAGUGUAAUCACAAAGGUUUUUCAAAGAUGGAAGAGGGCAGAAGAGCCAGAAAAGGAUAUGUGACAAUGGAGUCAGUGUCAGAGUUGGAGUGACGUGAUGUGAGAAGGAUUCAACCUGCUGUUUCUGGCUUUGAGGAUGAAAGAAGGGGCCAUGAGCCAAGCAAUACAGGUGGCUUCUUUCAAGAAGUUGGAAAAGGAGGAAAGACCAAAAAAGGAUAAAACACACCAAAGUUUGUUCAAUCCAGCCAGUCCCCAGCAAAGACCUAAAAGAAUGAAUUCAUUUUCUGGAUGUUGGGAACUGACUGUAAGGAAGACAGGAUUGGAGAACCAGGUUUAGAAGAGAAAAGGCAGUACCAGAAGUUUUUGAUUGGAGAAAACUACAGGGCAAUGUUGCACAAGAACCAUUGCUGGUAAGAAUGAACUCUCUUUCUUUCCUCUUUCCAUUGUCAUCCUUAUCAAGACUUAAUGUUCUGAGAGAACAUGGCCAAAUUCAGGCCAGGAGUUUGUUCCUUAGUUGUGCUAGUAUCGUGGGUGGGAG